rnacentral:rRNA from 1 species
GAUGAACGCUGGCGGCGUGCCUAAUACAUGCAAGUCGAGCGAACAGACGAGGAGCUUGCUCCUCUGACGUUAGCGGCGGACGGGUGAGUAACACGUGGAUAACCUACCUAUAAGACUGGGAUAACUUCGGGAAACCGGAGCUAAUACCGGAUAAUAUAUUGAACCGCAUGGUUCAAUAGUGAAAGACGGUUUUGCUGUCACUUAUAGAUGGAUCCGCGCCGCAUUAGCUAGUUGGUAAGGUAACGGCUUACCAAGGCAACGAUGCUUAGCCGACCUGAGAGGGUGAUCGGCCACACUGGAACUGAGACACGGUCCAGACUCCUACGGGAGGCAGCAGUAGGGAAUCUUCCGCAAUGGGCGAAAGCCUGACGGAGCAACGCCGCGUGAGUGAUGAAGGUCUUCGGAUCGUAAAACUCUGUUAUUAGGGAAGAACAAAUGUGUAAGUAACUAUGCACGUCUUGACGGUACCUAAUCAGAAAGCCACGGCUAACUACGU